rnacentral:lncRNA from 1 species
AGAACUCAAGGACAGGGACUGGAGUGUUGUGGGGAGCCCAGAAGCCCCUGUUUUACUUCUUUCUUUGCUUUUCCUGAAUAUCUGCUUUAUUCUUACUCUAUAGACCUGCUUCCUCCUCUUUCACCCCACAUUGUGGGGUGUAGUCUUUUGCUUCAAGAAAGCAGCCUGGUGGAUGGAAUCUCUUGGCCCCAAUCCCAAAUUCUCUGGAGAAGGGGCUCUUUGGUUUAACUUGGAUAAUGUUGUCUUCAGCUGGGGGUGGGCACAUCGUGCAUAUGUGGCUGCUGCCGGGGAACCACGUGGAUGAUGUGAGAGGAGCAGCACCCAGAAGAGGGAGUGCUGGGCUGAUGGUCCAGGUCGUGUCCACUUCUGAUUGUUUAAUUCUUCUUCUAAGUGGAUGGAUCUUUCUCCAAUACUCAGCAAAUCCUGAUCGUUCCAGAAUACUUCAUUAUAGCCAAUUGGUUAUAAUGUGCUUCUCUAAGAGAAAUAUUUAGGGACAACAAAUCUUCAUGGGUUUGAAGACUUGAUGGAGGAAAAAGGAGUAGAUUUUCGAAGGCUGGAUUUGGAUGAACAGGGGCUAUUCAGGGAGUGCAUUCCAACCUAAAAUUAGGAAAAACUGGCUGGGCGCAGUGGCUCACGCGCUUUGGGAGGCCGAGGCGGGCAGAUGGCCUGAGGUCAGGAGUUCAAGACCAGCCUGGCCAACAUGGUGAAACCCGUCUCUAC